CCUACGGGAGGCAGCAGUGGGGAAUCUUGCACAAUGGAGGAAACUCUGAUGCAGCGAUGCCGCGUGAGUGAAGAAGGCCUUUGGGUUGUAAAGCUCUUUUGUAGGGGAAGAUAAUGACUGUACCCUAAGAAUAAGGUCCGGCUAACUUCGUGCCAGCAGCCGCGGUAAUACGAAGGGACCUAGCGUAGUUCGGAAUUACUGGGCGUAAAGCGCGCGUAGGCCGUUGAGUUAGUUAAUUGUGAAAUCCCAAAGCUUAACUUUGGAACUGCAAUUAAAACUGCUCGACUAGAGUUUGAUAGAGGAAAGCGGAAUACAUAGUGUAGAGGUGAAAUUCGUAGAUAUUAUGUAGAACACCAGUUGCGAAGGCGGCUUUCUGGAUCAACACUGACGCUGAGGCGCGAAAGUAUGGGUAGCAAAGAGGAUUAGAUACCCUCGUAGUCCAUACCAUAAACGAUGAUUGCUAGAUGUUGGAAAUUUAUUUUACAGUAUCGCAGCUAACGCAUUAAGCAAUCCGCCUGGGGAGUACGACCGCAAGGUUAAAACUCAAAGGAAAUUGAACGG
rnacentral:rRNA from 1 species